CUUUGUGAUGUCAUCAGGCAGCAAAACCUGACUGGCCACAUGGCCAGGUUUCAGAAUGAGGACAGAAGACCUGACCUAGCGGUACCAUUGCGUUCAUUAUUUGAUACCUGAGUGGCUGGAAUUACUUGGAGCAGGGGGGGAGAAUAUGGUGUUGAAGCUGCUGAAGAGAGAGGAACAAAUUGUUACAAAGUGGAAAGAGUGGUAGAAAAAGGAGAGCGUCCCCCAAAUUAUCCUGGGAAUUGUAGUUUGCCCCCCGCAGCAGGACAAUUCCUAGCACCUUUAACCAACUACAGUUCCCAAUAGGCUUUAGAGGCUUUAAAUUGUGUGCUGCAAAGCGUUAGCUUACAAUAUUUGCCACAUUAAGGUUUACGGCAGCUUGACAUUUUCCUCCCUGUUGAGGCCUGGGUGUGUGUAUUAUUACAUCACUACAGUAGGGCAGAGAAGUCCAGGGGAACCAUGAUUCCGGAUUUGUAUCCUUGACACCCCCUCCCAUCUUUUCCUUGUGCUGGAUCAUAACUUCCCUUAAACAAAGCACCACAAUGUUUGCUUUGUGAGAAGCCAGUCAGGUAUGGAUUAGGCGUGUUUGCCUCUUGCAGGUGGGAAGGAAGGUAAAGAAAAGGAAACGGUAGCUGCACAAAAACGGCAAAUGCCAGGGAGUUUGAUAAACUUCAGAUUUAUGUUCUGUUUCAGAUGCAAACUGUUCAGCUGUGUUUCACGGGAAAAAAUAGUUGACUCUCACGCUCCACUGACUGUCUUUAAAUAGCUCCGACACCUGCAGAAGAAAUUGUACCAAGGCAGAACAGCAACUUGAAUCUUGAACAACACUUCCAGGGCUUUGCAUUUAUAAAGCAGGGCUCCUUUGGAAUGGAGAUAUGAACCUGUGGCCCUGCAGGUGUUGGGUUACAGUUUCCAUCACCCUGAGCCCUGUGCUAGCUGGGCCCAUUGGGCGUUGGAGGACCACAGACUCCUCAGUCUUCAAACAAUAGGCUGUGGACCUUCUAGCUGCCAUUGGGCAAGGCUCUGUGUCAGGCUGCAUAUACAUCAAACCUCCACAGCAGUGCGAGAUGCCAGAUGUCGUGGGCUGGUUGGACACAGAGAAAUGAUGGGAGGAACCAGCUGGGGAACCACC